GUCUUAAUUCCUUUCAUCUGUAUCAAUUAGGAUUCUAUAAAGAAGCAUAUGGUAUGCUGAAAAUAGGUAAUGCAAAGAGAACUGAAUAAAGAGACUAUUUACAAAGGUUUGGGUAGCAUGUCAUAGAAUGACAAGGAAUAAUUUAGAAACUUGGAGCUAGUAAUGGUGGGUGGUACUGGUACUAAUCCUCAGCCUGAAGGGAUGAGGGGGGCCAGAGAUUUCUAGAACCUGAGGGCAGAGAGAGCUGUGUGGAGAGGACCAGCUGAUGAGAAUUGUGUUCCCUGUUCAAGAGAUGCAGCCUGCCUGCCUUGGCGCUCAGGAAGGGAGCAAGUAGAAUAAAUUCCCUCUCUUUUCCUUCUACCAGCGCUUCCCAUGGUCUGAAACCAAUGAGGAGCAAGAGGACAAUAGUGCCCAUUGAUGUAAGAGAUGAGUCAGAUGCUGUGGGGCCAAGAGAAAGGUGGAGGGGAUGAAGAGUGGUUAUCCCUGGGAGAGCAGAAGAUACUCGGAGCACCCAGCCUUCCAGAAACCAUAGGUGCGAACCAGAGAGUCUGUCCAACAUGACUGUUCUUUCUAACCAAGGCUAGCUUCGCUGAGCAAGUCUUUCUCCUCUAAGUGUGCUCUUAGCAAAUAAUGAAGACAGAAUUCUGAUAGAACUUCUAAUGACCUGGAAGAUCUGGUAGAGGGGUAGAGGGCCAGCCAAGGUAUGUAAUUAUUAUAAGAUGGCAAGUUCUUAUUUACGUAAAUCCAUCGGGACUGGAACUCAAUGGUGCUGCUAGAUCUUUUAUGUAAAUGAGAACUGUAUUAGGGAGGAAAGAUAGUAAAUGCCACUGUAUCUGCUGUCCCUGAUGUAUUUAUUUCAUUUGACAUUUUUCUAAUUAUAUGACAUAUACUAGAAAAAAAACCAGUCCCAUUUCCUUUAUUUUUCCUAGAUAAGAAUUUUGAGGUAUAUUAUCAGAGCAGUUUCAUGCCUAUUUUGCUUCCCUUUACAUAGAAAAAUUUGAAAGUGAGGUUCUCAGUAAUCGCUGUGCAUCAGAAUUAACUGGAUUUUUUAUUUUUAGCAUAAUUUCUAAUACCAUAUCCAGUACUAAAAUCAGAAGCUUUGAAACAAUAGAGAACAAAUUUUUCAGUAGAGAAGUGACAUUAGGGAGUUCUCUUCAUGGCUCAGUGGUUAACAAACCUGACUAGGAUCCAUGAAGAUGCAGGUUUGAUCCCUGACCUCUCUCAGUGAGUUGAGGACCUUGUGUUGCCCUGAACUGUGAUGUAGGUCACAGACACAGCUCAGAGCCUGAGCUGCUAUGGCUGUGAUGUAGGCUGUAGCUCUGAUUAGGCUCCUAUCCUGGGAACUUCUACAUGCCACGGGUUCAGCCCUAAAAAUAAAUAAAUAAAUAAAUAAAUAAAUAAAUAAAUA
rnacentral:lncRNA from 1 species